rnacentral:rRNA from 1 species
CAGGACGAACGCUUGCGGCGUGCCUAAUACAUGCAAGUCGAGCGAGCUUGCCUAGAUGAUUUUAGUGCUUGCACUAAAUGAAACUAGAUACAAGCGAGCGGCGGACGGGUGAGUAACACGUGGGUAACCUGCCCAAGAGACUGGGAUAACACCUGGAAACAGAUGCUAAUACCGGAUAACGACACUAGACGCAUGUCUAGAGUUUGAAAGAUGGUUCUGCUAUCACUCUUGGAUGGACCUGCGGUGCAUUAGCUAGUUGGUAAGGUAACGGCUUACCAAGGCAAUGAUGCAUAGCCGAGUUGAGAGACUGAUCGGCCACAUUGGGACUGAGACACGGCCCAAACUCCUACGGGAGGCAGCAGUAGGGAAUCUUCCACAAUGGACGAAAGUCUGAUGGAGCAACGCCGCGUGAGUGAAGAAGGGUUUCGGCUCGUAAAGCUCUGUUGGUAGUGAAGAAAGAUAGAGGUAGUAACUGGCCUUUAUUUGACGGUAAUUACUUAGAAAGUCACGGCUAACUACGUGCCAGCAGCCGCGGUAAUACGUAGGUGGCAAGCGUUGUCCGGAUUUAUUGGGCGUAAAGCGAGUGCAGGCGGUUCAAUAAGUCUGAUGUGAAAGCCUUCGGCUCAACCGGAGAAUUGCAUCAGAAACUGUUGAACUUGAGUGCAGAAGAGGAGAGUGGAACUCCAUGUGUAGCGGUGGAAUGCGUAGAUAUAUGGUAGAACACCAGUGGCGAAGGCGGCUCUCUGGUCUGCAACUGACGCUGAGGCUCGAAAGCAUGGGUAGCGAACAGGAUUAGAUACCCUGGUAGUCCAUGCCGUAAACGAUGAGUGCUAAGUGUUGGGAGGUUUCCGCCUCCUCAGUGCUGCAGCUAACGCAUUAAGCACUCCGCCUGGG